ensembl:misc_RNA Metazoa_SRP Metazoan signal recognition particle RNA
GCCAGGCACAGUGGCACACGCGUAUGGUCCCAGUUACUUGGGAAGCACGAGAAGAUCACCUGGUGCUGAUUGGGUGUCUGCACUAAGUUUGGAAUAAUUAUGGUGACCUCCCAGGAGUAGGGAACCACUGGGUUGCCUAAGGUGGGGUGAACCUGCCCAGGUCAGAAAUGGAGCAGGUCAAAACUCCCAUGCUAAUCAAUAGUGGGAUUGUGCCUGUGAAUAGCCACUGCACUCCA